AGAGUUUGAUCAUGGCUCAGAACGAACGCUGGCGGCAUGCCUAACACAUGCAAGUCGAACGGGAUCCUGGCUACGGCCAGGUGAGAGUGGCGGACGGGUGAGUAACGCGUGGGAACCUGCCCAUUGGUCUGGGAUAACUGCGGGAAACUGCAGCUAAUACCGCAUAAAGUCCUUGGGAGGCAUCUCCUAGGGACCAAACUUCCGGGGCGGGAGGAGCAAUCUGCGUACUAUCAGGUAGUUGGUGAGGUAACGGCUCACCAAGCCUACGACGGUUAACUGGUCUGAGAGGAUGAUCAGUCACACUGGAACUGAGACACGGUCCAGACUCCUACGGGAGGCAGCAGUGAGGAAUAUUGCGCAAUGGGCGAAAGCCUGACGCAGCGACGCCGCGUGGAGGAUGACGGUCUUCGGAUUGUAAACUCCUGUCAGUAGGGAAGAGAAUGGACGGUACCUACUGAGGAAGCUUCGGCUAACUACGUG
rnacentral:rRNA from 1 species